rnacentral:rRNA from 1 species
CGCGUAGGCGGUAAUGAAAGUCAGAUGUGAAAUACUUCGGCUCAACUGAAGAACUGCAUCUGAAACUUCAUAACUAGAGUACGGAAGAGGGAAAUGGAAUUCCCGGUGUAGAGGUGAAAUUCGUAGAUAUCGGGAGGAACACCAGUGGCGAAGGCGAUUUCCUGGUCUGGUACUGACGCUGAGGCGCGAAAGUGUGGGGAGCAAACAG